AAAUUGAAGAGUUUGAUCAUGGCUCAGAUUGAACGCUGGCGGCAGGCCUAACACAUGCAAGUCGAACGGUAACAGGAAGCAGCUUGCUGCUUCGCUGACGAGUGGCGGACGGGUGAGUAAUGUCUGGGAAACUGCCUGAUGGAGGGGGAUAACUACUGGAAACGGUGGCUAAUACCGCAUAACGUCGCAAGACCAAAGAGGGGGACCUUCGGGCCUCUUGCCAUCAGAUGUGCCCAGAUGGGAUUAGCUUGUUGGUGAGGUAACGGCUCACCAAGGCGACGAUCCCUAGCUGGUCUGAGAGGAUGACCAGCCACACUGGAACUGAGACACGGUCCAGACUCCUACGGGAGGC
rnacentral:rRNA from 2 species